CAGCAGCCGCGGGAAUACGGAGGGGGCUAGCGUUGUUCGGAAUUACUGGGCGUAAAGCGCACGUAGGCGGCUGUGUAAGUCAGAGGUGAAAGCCCGGGGCUCAACCCCGGAAUAGCCUUUGAGACUGCAUAGCUUGAACACGGGAGAGGUGAGUGGAAUUCCGAGUGUAGAGGUGAAAUUCGUAGAUAUUCGGAAGAACACCAGUGGCGAAGGCGGCUCACUGGACUGGUAUUGACGCUGAGGUGCGAAAGCGUGGGGAGCAAAUAGGAUUAGAUACCCCAGUAGUCCCUGUCUCUUAUAA
rnacentral:rRNA from 1 species